rnacentral:rRNA from 1 species
UUAAGCAUAUCAAUAAGCGGAGGAAAAGAAACUAACAAGGAUUCCCCUAGUAACUGCGAGUGAAGCGGGAAAAGCUCAAAUUUAAAAUCUGGCGGUCUUUGGCCGUCCGAGUUGUAGUCUGGAGAAGUGCUUUCCGCGCUGGACCGUGUAUAAGUCUCUUGGAACAGAGCGUCAUAGAGGGUGAGAAUCCCGUCUUUGACACGGACUACCAGUGCUUUGUGAUGCGCUCUCAAAGAGUCGAGUUGUUUGGGAAUGCAGCUCAAAAUGGGUGGUAAAUUCCAUCUAAAGCUAAAUAUUGGCGAGAGACCGAUAGCGAACAAGUACCGUGAGGGAAAGAUGAAAAGCACUUUGGAAAGAGAGUUAAACAGUACGUGAAAUUGCUGAAAGGGAAACGCUUGAAGUCAGUCGCGUCUGCCGGAACUCAGCCUUGCUUUUGCUUGGUGCACUUUCCGGUUGACGGGCCAGCAUCGAUUUUGACCGUCGGAAAAGGGCUAGGGAAAUGUGGCACCUUCGGGUGUGUUAUAGUCUCUAGUCGCAUACGGCGGUUGGGAUCGAGGACCGCAGCGCGCCGCAAGGCA